CGUACACUCCUGCGGGAGGCAGCAGUGGGGAAUUUUGGACAAUGGGCGAAAGCCUGAUCCAGCCAUGCCGCGUGCAGGAUGAAGGCCUUCGGGUUGUAAACUGCUUUUGUACGGAACGAAACGGCCUUUUCUAAUAAAGAGGGCUAAUGACGGUACCGUAAGAAUAAGCACCGGCUAACUACGUGCCAGCAGCCGCGGUAAUACGUAGGGUGCAAGCGUUAAUCGGAAUUACUGGGCGUAAAGCGUGCGCAGGCGGUUAUGUAAGACAGUUGUGAAAUCCCCGGGCUCAACCUGGGAACUGCAUCUGUGACUGCAUAGCUAGAGUACGGUAGAGGGGGAUGGAAUUCCGCGUGUAGCAGUGAAAUGCGUAGAUAUGCGGAGGAACACCGAUGGCGAAGGCAAUCCCCUGGACCUGUACUGACGCUCAUGCACGAAAGCGUGGGGAGCAAACAGGAUUAGAUACCCCUGUAGUCCCAUG
rnacentral:rRNA from 1 species